rnacentral:tRNA from 1 species
GGGGUUGUGGCUCAGUGGUAGAGUGCUUGCCUAGCAUGUGUGAGGCCCUGGGUUCGACCCUCAGCACCA